UAGGGAAUCUUCGGCAAUGGGGGCAACCCUGACCGAGCAACGCCGCGUGAGUGAAGAAGGUUUUCGGAUCGUAAAGCUCUGUUGUAAGAGAAGAACGUGUGUGAGAGUGGAAAGUUCACACAGUGACGGUAACUUACCAGAAAGGGACGGCUAACUACGUGCCAGCAGCCGCGGUAAUACCUAGGUCCCGAGCGUUGUCCGGAUUUAUUGGGCGUAAAGCGAGCGCAGGCGGUUUAAUAAGUCUGAAGUUAAAGGCAGUGGCUUAACCAUUGUUCGCUUUGGAAACUGUUAAACUUGAGUGCAGAAGGGGAGAGUGGAAUUCCAUGUGUAGCGGUGAAAUGCGUAGAUAUAUGGAGGAACACCGGUGGCGAAAGCGGCUCUCUGGUCUGUAACUGACGCUGAGGCUCGAAAGCGUGGGGAGCAAACAGG
rnacentral:rRNA from 1 species